rfam:TPA: Bos taurus chromosome 1, whole genome shotgun sequence.
UCCCUAGUGGCUCAGAUGGUAAAGCGUCUGCCUAUAAUGCAGGAGACCUGGGUUCGAUCCCUCGGUUGGGAA